GGGAAAUCUUACCGGGUCCGGACACACUGAGGAUUGACAGGCGUUUCGUAAAGUUUUAUACUUUAAUUUUAGUUUUAUUAUUAUUUUUAAAGUUAUAUUCAUUUACAUUUCAAAUAUGCUAGUCCUUUCAUGAUUGUGUGAUAGGUGGUGCAUGGCCGUUCUUAGUUCGUGGAGUGAUCUGUCUGCUUAAUUGCGUUUCACUUAUGGCGUGAAUGUGUUAUUACUGUUCAUUGUGACCUCAUUUUUUUAUUUUUUUUCUUAAAAGAAUAUUUAAAGUGAUUGCGUCCGGUUCUAGUAUGCACAUCAUAGCCUCGAAGGCAACGAAC
rnacentral:rRNA from 2 species